rnacentral:tRNA from 1 species
GCCUGGGUGGCUCAGUCGGUUGAGCAACUGACUUCAGCUCAUGAUCUCAUGGUUUGUGGGUUCGAGCCCCGCGUCAGGCU